CAGCCGCCACGGUAAUACGGAGGGGGCUAGCGUUGUUCGGAAUUACUGGGCGUAAAGCGCACGUAGGUGGCUUGGUAAGUUAGAGGUGAAAGCCCGGAGCUCAACUCCGGAAUUGCCUUUAAGACUGCCGAGCUAGUAGGUGAGAGAGGUAAGUGGAAUUCCGAGUGUAGAGGUGAAAUUCGUAGAUAUUCGGAAGAACACCAGUGGCGAAGGCGGCUUACUGGCUCAUUCUAGACGCUGAGGUGCGAAAGCGUGGGAAGCAAACAGGAUUAGAUACCCCAGUAGUCCCUGUCUCUUAUAA
rnacentral:rRNA from 1 species